ACCAUAUUGGUUAAAUUUAUAGCGAACUUUUUAUUCAUUACUGCUAUUCUUGUACAGCUGCUAUACAGUGCCUGAAGAGGAAGAGAUUAUAUGAACAACAAAUAGAGCAGCUUGGGAACUUCCAGCUUCGUAUUCAUGAUCAAAUGAUAAUGUUAGAAUGUGCUAAAGCCACAACCGAAACUGUAGAUGCAUUGAGAAUUGGAGCUGCUGUAAUGAAAGCAAUGCAGAAAGCAAUGAAUAUAGAUGAUGUUGACAAAACAAUGGAUGAGAUGAGAACUGA